CCUACGGGGUGGCAGCAGUGGGGAAUAUUGGACAAUGGGGGCAACCCUGAUCCAGCCAUGCCGCGUGUGUGAAGAAGGCCCUCGGGUUGUAAAGCACUUUCAGUGAGGAAGAACGCCUGGUGGUUAAUACCCAUCAGGAAAGACAUCACUCACAGAAGAAGCACCGGCUAACUCCGUGCCAGCAGCCGCGGUAAUACGGAGGGUGCGAGCGUUAAUCGGAAUUACUGGGCGUAAAGCGCGCGUAGGUGGCUUGAUAAGCCGGUUGUGAAAGCCCCGGGCUCAACCUGGGAACGGCAUCCGGAACUGUCAAGCUAGAGUGCAGGAGAGGAAGGUAGAAUUCCCGGUGUAGCGGUGAAAUGCGUAGAGAUCGGGAGGAAUACCAGUGGCGAAGGCGGCCUUCUGGACUGACACUGACACUGAGGUGCGAAAGCGUGGGUAGCAAACAGGAUUAGAUACUCCAGUAGUC
rnacentral:rRNA from 1 species